rnacentral:rRNA from 1 species
GACGAACCGUGCGAACGUUGUUCGGAAUCACUGGGCUUAAAGGGCGCGUAGGCGGCCCCGCCAGUCUUGGGUGAAAUCUCCCGGCCCAACCGGGAAAGUGCCCGGGAUACUGCGGGGCUCGAGCGAGGCAGGGGCGGGGGGAACUUCCGGUGGAGCGGUGAAAUGCGUUGAUAUCGGAAGGAACGCCGGCGGCGAAAGCGCCCCGCUGGGCCUCUCCUGACGCUGAGGCGCGAAAGCCAGGGGAGCAAACGGG